rnacentral:lncRNA from 1 species
CGGGAUUUAAAGGGCCCGCUCGCCGCGCCGCUCUGGGAGCCGCUGCUGGUCCUGGCCUUGCGGCCUGCGGGGGAGGCUGCCCGGAGGAGGCAGCGGCGGCGGCAGCGCGUCCUCGGUCCCCAGGACCACGGCUUCUUUCCUGCCAGAUCUAUCCAUCUGGCCAUCCAUCCGUGGGGGUCUGCAAUGGCCACCUUUAGCCGCCAGGAAUUUUUCCAGCAGCUACUACAAGGCUGUCUCCUGCCUACUGCCCAGCAGGGCCUUGACCAGAUCUGGCUGCUCCUUGCCAUCUGCCUCGCCUGCCGCCUCCUCUGGAGGCUCGGGUUGCCAUCCUACCUGAAGCAUGCAAGCACCGUGGCAGGCGGGUUCUUCAGCCUCUACCACUUCUUCCAGCUGCACAUGGUUUGGGUCGUGCUGCUCAGCCUCCUGUGCUACCUCGUGCUGUUCCUCUGCCGACAUUCCUCCCAUCGAGGCGUCUUCCUAUCCGUCACCAUCCUCAUCUACUUACUCAUGGGUGAGAUGCACAUGGUAGACACCGUGACAUGGCACAAGAUGCGAGGGGCACAGAUGAUUGUGGCCAUG